rnacentral:piRNA from 1 species
CUGAUGGCCAAGGAUUUUGAGUACU